rnacentral:rRNA from 1 species
AACGAACGCUGGCGGCAGGCUUAACACAUGCAAGUCGAACGCAUCGCAAGAUGAGUGGCAGACGGGUGAGUAACGCGUGGGAACAUACCCUUUUCUACGGAAUAGCUCUGGGAAACUGGAAUUAAUGCCGUAUACGCCCUACGGGGGAAAGAUUUAUCGGGGAAGGAUUGGCCCGCGUUGGAUUAGCUAGUUGGUGGGGUAAAGGCCUACCAAGGCGACGAUCCAUAGCUGGUCCGAGAGGAUGAUCAGCCACAUUGGGACUGAGACACGGCCCAAACUCCUACGGGAGGCAGCAGUGGGGAAUAUUGGACAAUGGGCGCAAGCCUGAUCCAGCCAUGCCGCGUGAGUGAUGAAGGCCUUAGGGUUGUAAAGCUCUUUCACCGAUGAAGAUAAUGACGGUAGUCGGAGAAGAAGCCCCGGCUAACUUCGUGCCAGCCGCCGCGGUAAUAC